rnacentral:lncRNA from 1 species
AGCGCGCCACUGCACGUCGCCAUGGUUCACCGUCGACGGUUGAGUCUUCGCUCGAUCAUCGCCUCGUGGCUCGAACGAACAGGGCCGCGUCCCAUUUUCUAAAGCUAAGUCCUACUCUCUUCUACUUCAGCUUCUAAUUGUUAAGGGGGUAGGGGUUCUCAUGGCUUUGGUUCUAUGUACAGUGGUAAUAUCUCAACGUAUGAAUCAUACUUUUUCCGUGAAAUGUCAUAAAUCAUGUAUUCGCAUAUGUGGGUUGCUAUGAGUCCUAUAGACAUGAAUACAACAGGAAAGUAACUGAUGCUAUUUGUUAUAGAGUAUGUAACUUUGCUAAGUUUAUCAAGCUUAUGGUCAUCUAUCAUUUGAAUCGGAUCAUGCUUAAUGGUAUGAAUGCAAACUGGAUUGAAUAUGUGGGACAGCAGUAAUACCUUGAGAAUAUUUGUGUUGGUUGCCUGUUGUGAUAUUGAUGAUUGAGAUGGGGAAUAACUGAAAUAUGAUGAAGGUGUUAUUGCUUUAAAAUGCAGGUGGAGGUUAUGGCAGGAGGUGGAAACGUUCAAGCCGAAGCUUACCUUGAGGAUUUGGCGGAAGUUGGGCAGCUCUGUCCCUCACGUUAAUGAAGUCUCAAUGAACUGAAACUUGUUCAGGUAUGGCAGCAGGAAGGUCGAGCAGCGGCUGUGAGUGAAAGAGGGAGUCCGUUGGCCGAAGGAAACUCGCCUGCUCUUCCGCGAACUCGUGUGUGAAGAAUGAAGGAAAUGGCGUGUUCUUGGCUGGAGUUGAAGCAAAUAGAAGGAGAUGUUGGCUGCAUACUUGAGUAUGCUAGAGACAAGGUAUAGGGUAGGGUGAAGGUGAUUGGAGAAGUGGGCGGCUGCUGGAGCAUGCUAAGGAGUAGGGGUAGGGUGUAGGGAAGGGAAUUGGUGAAGUGUGGCGGCUGGCAGCUGGGCUGUUUCAGCCCACACGCCCAAUCCCCCAUUUCUUUCUUCUUCUUCUCUUAUUUGCUUGUUGGCCGAGGGUUUGAAAGGAAAAGGAAUGGUGUUGCUUUGAUGUGUAAUACAUGGAAUAGGGUGAAUAAUUGAAGAUUUGGUGGAUCAAAGUAAAGCUCUUACCUCUUGGGAAUUCUAAACU